CCUACGGGAGGCAGCAGUGGGGAAUUUUGGACAAUGGGGGCAACCCUGAUCCAGCCAUUCCGCGUGAGUGAAGAAGGCCUUCGGGUUGUAAAGCUCUUUCGGCAGGAACGAAAAGGUGGUCACUAAUACUGGCUGCUGAUGACGGUACCUGAAGAAGAAGCACCGGCUAACUACGUGC
rnacentral:rRNA from 1 species